rnacentral:rRNA from 1 species
CGACUAAGCGUACACGGUGGAUGCCCUGGCAGUCAGAGGCGAUGAAGGACGUGCUAAUCUGCGAAAAGCGUCGGUAAGGUGAUAUGAACCGUUAUAACCGGCGAUGUCCGAAUGGGGAAACCCAGUGUGAUUCGUCACACUAUCGUUAACUGAAUACAUAGGUUAACGAGGCGAACCGGGGGAACUGAAACAUCUAAGUACCCCGAGGAAAAGAAAUCAACCG